CCUGACUACCCUGCCUCUGACCACUCGAACUGAGUGCUGCUUAGCUGUAUCGUAGACACCGCCUGUUUGUGAACAGACACCCUGCUUCUUGAUGAUAACACAAAGGCCAGCAGGGUCCACUGCUGUGUGGAAUGGCCUUCGGUCAUUUCUGCCCAGAGCAUAGAGCUCAAGCUCUUGGACUCACCGAGGCAGUAAAAGUACCAUAUCCUGUGUUUGAAUCAAACCCGGAGUUCUUGUAUGUGGAAGGCUUGCCAGAGGGGAUUCCCUUCCGAAGCCCUACCUGGUUUGGAAUUCCACGACUUGAAAGGAUCGUCCGCGGGAGUAAUAAAAUCAAGUUCGUUGUUAAAAAACCUGAACUAGUUAUUUCCUACUUGCCUCCUGGGAUGGCUAGUAAAAUAAACACUAAAGCUUUGCAGUCCCCCAAAAGACCACGAAGUCCUGGGAGUAAUUCAAAGGUUCCUGA
rnacentral:lncRNA from 1 species